rnacentral:RNase_P_RNA from 1 species
UGAGUAAGCCAGAUGAUCGCAGAUACUGCCUGAAAAGGCGUAGAUGAGGAAAGUCCGGGCUCCAUAGGGCAAUGGUGCCGGGUAACUCCCGGUGAAGGUGACUUUAAGGAAAGUGCAACAGAGAUAUACCGCCAUAUUAGGGUCUACCAUAUAUGGUAAGGGUGGAAAGGCGAGGUAAGAGCUCACCAGCGACUUGGCGACUUGUCGGCUAUGUAAACCCCACCUGGAGCAACACCGUGGAGGGACGCAAUGACUGCCCGUCAGUCCCGGGGAGGUGGCUUGAGCCAUGCAGAAAUGUAUGGCCUAGAUAGAUGAUCGUCUAAUACAGAACCCGGCUUAUAGACUUACUCGUAAU